rnacentral:tRNA from 1 species
ACCUUACUAGUAUCAAUACUAAUACAGAUGACUUCCAAUCAUCAAACCCUGCUAAUCAGGGUAAGGUA